AGACAUUAAGAUGCUUGGGAGAAUUGAACCAAAGUACACACUUUUCCGGGUGCUGAAGAGAGAGCUCCAUCUUGGUAAAUCACUUCCUCCAAGAUUGGAAAGUUUGCAAGAAUGUCGGCCUCUAUUCUCUUCUUCCAUAUUGGUAACUUAGCCAAGAAAAAAUAUAAUAUUUCAUUUGCAUCCAUAAUGGUGACUUCACGGAAUGGAAGCAUUUAUCUCAUUCGUAUGGUGAAAAAUAUCUGCCAGGUACAUGCAGCCAGUAUUUAAUGUUAUUCAUAGAGCUGUGUGAACCACGCAAAAUGUGAAACUUUGGACAUCAAUGAGUAUUUGACCUAAGAAAAUCUCUGCUAAAUAUGGUGCUGCAGUCUAAAUGCUCUCUAACAAGAAGAGGAGGGAUCUGUUGUGCAAAUGAUGGAUAAGCCAAACUGACAGUUCUUAUUUUUACAAGACCCUACAAAUGUUUGAAGCUUCAACCAUGUGUAGAUCUUUUUGGAUUUCACAUAGUGUGAAAUACUAAAUGAUGAAACAAAUAAGCAGAUAUUUUACUUAACUUAAAAGCAAUGGAGUUUUUAAAAAACAACAGUAGUGAAUAAUGUAGCAAUGCAUUAUCUAUGAGGGGGUUUUGCAAAUCAUAUAUGGAACACCACUGAAAGGAUACACACUAUGCUGCUGUGUUUAUUAUUCUAUUUUG